ACUGCAGAUAGACCUCGACACAGUCACAGGCCCGGCUGCCCGUCGUGCCCACCAUGCCUGGCUGCUCCCGAGUGGCCAAUACAUAGAGCCCAGGGCACUACACAUGCUUUGGAGCGCUUCAGGCCAACCUUGCAUCAGAGACAUCGAAGGGAAAAUAACACAUAGAAAAGCAGCAGGAGGAGGAGUGAAAAAGAAUGAUCGAGAAAGGCCAGUAACCCCGCUCAGCCCAGGCUCCGGAUCUGCUAUCGGGAUCAGAUCAGGAUCUCCAUCUCCAGUAGAAAGGGGCCCCGGAAGUUUGGCCAGGAAUGCGGAGGCAACUCUGUGGAACAGGAGGGACCCCAGAAUAAGGGCCGGACCCCAGAACCCUGCUCUCGUAGGCGAGGACUGAGCCUGCGACAGAUGCGUCUCCACACGCCCUCGGCGUCGCAAACUUCGUGGAAGUAGUGGCAGGUCUGGCCCAGAGCGACUACAUCUCUGACUGGGAGGAAUGAGAUGAUAUGCUCCACCUGGGGGGGCAGGAGGGAGGAAGCAGGGUUCAGUGGGGUCCCUCCGUGGCCUGGCCCCCUGCCCUUUAUUCUUUAAUACCUCCCUAUGGAGGACUCACCAGCUCUGGGGGGAACAGCUGGACAGAAAUAGGGUUCCCUCUCCCCUUCUUCUCUUCACCCCCAGGCUCUGGGCCACAUGAAGGGCAGCUCCGCUUCACCUGCCCGAGAAUGGGGAGCACAGGGGUUCCAUGAGAGUCAGGCCUCUUUUGCUGCCUUCUCUCAGCCUGUCUUUCAUUAGCUACUUUCUUGGGGGCUCACCGCCCUGUCUUCCGGCUCUGCGUUCUCAAAUCCUCCCGUCUUUCUCUCUAGGUCCAUGGGUCACCCUUCCCUGUCUGCCGUGUUCCUUGGUCCACCGGCUCCAAAGAACCCCUCCCCCGACCUCUGGCUACCAUCUUCUCCGUCCUUCCCUUGGCUCGCUCCCCCCUCACCCGGAGCCCCUCCUCCCGUCCGCACAGCCUGGUGACUUUUUGCAGCUUUCGCCUCCGGCUUCUCCUCACCAUCCUGACUGCCCCCUCCCUGCUCUUGCCCUCAUCUCUCCGUGCCCCUAGGCCCCCCGUAGUCAGCUCCUUGGCCCCCGUCCCUGCUGCCUUUCCCACACCAUGUCCCCCGCCUGGGCUUGGGGGACCUCUGGGGCCCCUCUGCCUCCUAGGCCCCUCCCCCAUGGAGUCUGGGAAGACAAACCUCUCUGUGACCUCACUGCCCAGCCACUGUGACCUAUUUUCCCCAACCUGGCCUGGGAUUUUGCUCCUGGACAGCUCCUGGGUUCUAGCUCAGCGUUAGCCGCCCCCCCCCCCCGCCCCAGGGGCUCAUGGGUUAUGCAUUUUACAGGAGAGAGAAAGUGGGAACUACUGGUAGAUGAGGCCUUUCCUUUUGGGGAGUAAUUCUGAGGUCCCUCCACUUGAGGCCCUUUUUUUGCAUUAACUCAGCUCCGUAGAGAAACACUGGUGAGUUCUUCCUACCUCAGCAGGCCAGGGCCUCCAGUGAUUUGUAGCCCAAGAGUAUAAACUCAAAAAAAAAAAAAAAAAAA